rnacentral:rRNA from 1 species
GACGAACGCUGGCGGCGUGCUUAACACAUGCAAGUCGAACGGAAAGGCUCUGCUUUUGUGGGGUGCUCGAGUGGCGAACGGGUGAGUAACACGUGAGUAACCUGCCCUUGACUUUGGGAUAACUUCAGGAAACUGGGGCUAAUACCGGAUAGGAGCUCCUGCUGCAUGGUGGGGGUUGGAAAGUUUCGGCGGUUGGGGAUGGGCUCGCGGCUUAUCAGCUUGUUGGUGGGGUAGUGGCUUACCAAGGCUUUGACGGGUAGCCGGCCUGAGAGGGUGACCGGCCACAUUGGGACUGAGAUACGGCCCAGACUCCUACGGGAGGCAGCAGUGGGGAAUAUUGCACAAUGGGCGGAAGCCUGAUGCAGCAACGCCGCGUGCGGGAUGACGGCCUUCGGGUUGUAAACCGCUUUCGCCUGUGACGAAGCGUGAGUGACGGUAAUGGGUAAAGAAGCACCGGCUAACUACGUG